rnacentral:rRNA from 1 species
GACGAACGCUGGCGGCGUGCUUAACACAUGCAAGUCGAACGAAGUGGCGAACGGGUGAGUAACGCGUAAUCAACCUGCCCUUCAGAGGGGGACAACAGUUGGAAACGACUGCUAAUACCGCAUACGGAAGGAGGGGAUUGCGUCUGGUUCGCUAGUUGGAGGGGUAACGGCCCACCAAGGCGAUGAUCAGUAGCCUGUCUGAAAGGAUGGACGGUCACCUGUGGAAUGUAGCACGGGUCCGACUCCUACCGGAGGCAGCAGUGGGGAAUCUUCCGCCAUGGACGGAAGUCUGACGGCGCAACGCCGCGUGAGUGAUGACGGCCUUCUGGUUGUUAAGCUCUGUUAAUCGGGACGCGUUACCGGAAUAGAAAGCCACGGCUAACUACGUGCCAGCAGCCGCGGUAAUUC